rnacentral:tRNA from 1 species
AAUGAAAUGUCUGAAUAAAGAGUUAUUCUGAUAGAAUAAAAUAUGUAUAAUUUAUAAAAUACUUUCAUUAAUAAUAAUUAUAAAAAUUUAAUUUUUAAAUAAUAAUAAUAAUAAUUAAUAUAUAUAUAUAUAUAAUAAUUUAAUUAUUUUAUAAGUCUUUAACGAAUAUGUAUUGAAAAAUCAAUA